CAAAGACCAAGACUUGGACAUGCAAUGAGCAAGCUCCACCUAAUCUCUUCUUUGACUUUCUCAAGCUCUAGGACAUCUCAUAAACUCUCUUGCUCUCAUUUUUCCUACGGGUAAACACACAAAUCUGAAAUUUCAGCUCACUUUGCUCUCUUUUUCUCUCAAGGAAAGUGCUAGGAAGCUCUCUUGAGUCUUCCCUCAAGUCCACCGGUUCACACACCAAAAGAAAGACAAAGCCCCAUCCAAAAGUCUAUUUCCCUCAUCUUUUCUUGGCUGCACCAGAAGCUUCAUUUUUCUUUCUCUAUUCCUUUUCUUUGUUCUUACCUCUUCCUUCUUCUCUUGUUCUUAUACGGCAGCCCCUUCUCACCAACAGCUCUCUCUCUCUCUCUCUCUCUCUCUCUCUCUCUCUCUCUCUCUCUCAAAGACCAUAUAUCUCACUGUAAGGAAGAAAUUAAAAGAUUAUCCCUAAGAUUUCAGCUUCAAAGUUUGUGGUGUUACCAGUAUCAAAGUCAUCAAAGUCUAAGCUCCUUCGACUUUAGGCUCUCGGUUCCUCUACUUUCAGUUAGCAAGUUUUAUUUUGGAGCAGAGGGAGCCUUAGUCGAGUUUGGAAGGAGCUGGUUUUAGUUUUAUAUGUAUAGAUCCUAAAUUAGCAUUCUGACGUUUAGCUUUAUAGUUAUUGUGUAUUCUAGGAUCAAAUGAAAGUUAUGUACCUUAAAGUAUUAAGAGAUGUAUUAUGUAAAAGUAUGGAAACUAAAUGACUGGUGGAUUAUGCUAUAUUUUGAGUACGGUGUAGAUGCUCUGACUAUCAAGUGAAAAAUUAUAUCAAGAAGUAAAGAAA